UACAGAGGGUGCGAGCGUUAAUCGGAAUUACUGGGCGUAAAGCGUGCGUAGACGGUUAUUUAAGUCGGAUGUGAAAUCCCCGGGCUCAACCUGGGAAUUGCAUUCGAUACUGGAUAGCUAGAGUUCGGCAGAGGGAAGCGGAAUUUCUGGUGUAGCGGUGAAAUGCGUAGAUAUUCGGAGGAACACCAGUGGCGAAGGCGGCUCACUGGCUCGAUACUGACGCUGAGGUGCGAAAGCGUGGGGAGCAAACAGG
rnacentral:rRNA from 1 species